rnacentral:rRNA from 1 species
UACGUAGGGUGCAAGCGUUGUCCGGAAUUAUUGGGCGUAAAGAGCUCGUAGGCGGUCUGUCGCGUCGGCUGUGAAAACCCGAGGCUCAACCUCGGGCCUGCAGUCGAUACGGGCAAACUAGAGUACUGCAGGGGAGACUGGAAUUCCUGGUGUAGCGGUGAAAUGCGCAGAUAUCAGGAGGAACACCGGUGGCGAAGGCGGGUCUCUGGGCAGUAACUGACGCUGAGGUACGAAAGCCAGGGGAGCAAAAGGG